GGGCUUCUCCCCACUUGACAUAUUUUUUCCCUCUUCAAAAUAGAUUGAAAGCCUCUUAGUGCAGGAAGCAGGCAUAUCAGUAUCAAACUGAUGUCAUCCAAUGCAAUUAUUGUAAGCUCCAGGUUUGUCUAAGUUUGGAUGAAGAAUGUGUUCAUGAACAUGUUUGCAACAUACAGUUAUCUAGCUUCCCCUUUGACAGAGUCACCCUUUUCAUCAAAAUAUACAGUAAGCCCAACCUAAAAAUUACAAGUUUACAAAUAUAGGAAUAGAAAAACCCAAAAAGCUAAUUUGCACAUAAAAAUUAUCUUCUGCUGCUAUAAAUGGGUAUGGAAAUAUUUGUAGAAUUGGUUUAACUGAUUUUGUAAAACAAAUGUCAUGCUAUUUUGCCAUAGUGAGACAUGCAGUAAUUCUUAAAAUGACAUUAAUAGAAGGCAAGAACAUUGAAUCAGACAUAGCAGAUAACAGGUUCAGUGAUAAAUGAACAAUAGACUAAGCAAGCUCUUUAGGAAGCUACAUGAGAACAGAAUGUAUUACUGUGCCCCAGUCCAAGCUGCAUGACUUUAUUGGUUAUAGAAUAAAUGGAAUUUGAGAUGGAGAUUUGCCAGUUUUUACAGUCUGUCUUCAGUAGUUUUGUUGGCUGCCUCUGCACCUUUCUAAGUGUUACGUGAAAAUAAAAUUACUUAAGUUCUAAAGUAGUUUAGGAAGGAGAUGUGAUGACAAGAAAAAGAAGUUAACUUCUGAACAGUUUGGUCCAGGAAGAAGAUGGGCAGAGUACAGUUUAAGCCCCGGGUUGAAGAAUACAUUCAAUUUGGAGAGCUGGAGAAGACCUUUGAAGGAGGUCAAAAUGAGAUCUUGGAACAGAACUCUCACCUGUGUGUCUGGAUAUGCAUGAAAACUGGACAGUAUUACUGAGCUACUGCUUACGUGGUGAGCAGAAAAUCGAUAACCACAAGCUGGGUAGGUUCUGCUGUGAAGCCCACAUAAAAUCACAAGGCCUAGAUAGCUUGGAGUUAAAAGCCAAGGAUAGCUGUAUAGUUUGGGUUCCAUAGUUUACAGUGAGAUUGUGCUACUGAGCAGUCAUUUUGGGGGCAGUGGUUCUGAGAUUACAAGCCAUAACCCAGCCAAGAAUGGGCUACAUGUGGAAUGAGGAUGAGGAAGUUGCUGCAUAUACACCCUAGUGUGUGUGUCUGUAUGUAUGUGUGUGUGUGUGUGUGUGUAUGUGUAUUAAGUGAAACGUAGUUAACUUUUUUGCUCACAGCCAAAGAUUAUUCAUCUAGAGAAGCCAUUGGAAUUUUAGCAGAGUUUUGUGUGUAUGUGGAUUUUUCUGAUAAGUAGUAAAUCAGAGGCCUUAACCACUGCCCAACAGCGAUUCUCCAUUGAGAGUACAUAUCAUGAACUUAAGAAAUUCAUUUGCUCUGAUUUUAAAUGUUGUAAAGUUUUCCUUCAUGAGAGGCCUUAUCUCUAAACUAUAUUGUGGCAGUAUCUGAUCAAACUACUUAAAAUAUAAGUACCAUGUAAAUAAGGUUUUAAUACAAACGAUGACUCACUUCUAAAUGGUUUGCUGUUUAAAAAUGUGCUGCUGUGGGAAAAAUGAUUUUUUUUUUUUUUUUUUGAGACGGAGAGUCUUGCUCUGUUGCCCAGACUGGGGUGUAAUGGCACAAUCUUGGCUCACUGCAGCCUCCUCCUCCCAGGAGAAUUGCUUGAACCCUGGAGGCAGAAGUUGCAUUGAGCCAACAUCGUGCCAUUGCCCUCCAGCCAGGACAACAGAGCAAGACUCUGUCUCAAAAACAAAAACAAAUGAAUACUCAGUUUCCAAAUUGGAGGAAUCAAGAAGAAAGGAAAAGCAAAUAUUUCCACCUUUGUUCACAAAAGUAUUCCAAAUUGCUGUAAACUAUAGAUAGCAUGAGAUAAUUUCCUUUAAUAUGAAAAACAAAACAUUUAAGUAAAAAACCAAUAAUGCUUCACAUAAAAGUUACAAACAUCUUCAGUUACUCAGUCUCAUGUAACUUUUUUGUUGUGGUUGAUCUUAACUAGUAGUUACAUGGAUCCAUUCAAGUUCUGAAAAAAUAUUUAGUCCAUUGGCAUUAAAGUUAUUAGUAACCUGUAUUUAAAAUGUGCUAGCAUCUUUUUCAUGAAUCUGAUUGCAAAUACUUUUAGAGAAAAAGCAAUAACUGGGAAUGACAAAAACUUAGAAUAACCAUGAUUAAAAAUCUGAUGAGAGUUUACCAUAACCAAAAAUAGACAAGUAGUUUUGGUUAUUUUUGUGGCAAACAGCAUAAUCAGAAUUAUGACUGAUGAUAGAUUUCUAACGGCAUUAUACAAUUUUGGAACACUCAUAUCAAUAACAUACUCGUAAAUGUAACUGUGUCUAGUAUUACAUCAUUAGACAAUGCUUUUCAUACAAUUUAAUACAUCAAACAAGCCUAAUUAGCUAACUUCUCUACCAGAUGGCAUACACAUACUCUGAGGCUUUCCAGAGGCCCGAGUGGAAAACUCCAAAGGUAAUUUUAAGUCAAAAACACCUAAUUUAGAACUUGAUCCUAGAGAAGGCUGUCAAAGAUGUCAAAGGGUUCAAAACAGAAUCACAGGUCACUGUAAAAUAUUUAACAAAAACGAUAACCAAAAGACCAGAAGCAGUACAGAAAGUUACAUACAUUUAAAAACCUUCAUCUUUUCAAAGCUUCAUUUUUCCUAAGCAAAAAAAAAAAAAAAAA
rnacentral:lncRNA from 1 species